GACAGAGGGUGCAAACGUUGCUCGGAAUUACUGGGCGUAAAGCGCGUGUAGGUGGAUUGGUGUGUCAGAUGUGAAAUCCCUGGGCUCAACCCAGGAACUGCACCUGAAACUACCAGUCUUGAGUGGUGGAGAGGGAAGUGGAAUUCCUGGUGUAGAGGUGAAAUUCGUAGAUAUCAGGAGGAACACCAGUGGCGAAGGCGGGUCUCUGGGCCGAUACUGACGCUGAGGAGCGAAAGCGUGGGGAGCGAACAGG
rnacentral:rRNA from 1 species